UCCACCUACAUCCACACCUCCUCCUGGUUCCACCUCUAUCACUCUUCCUCCAUCACUCUCUCCUGCUGUUCUCUCUGUGUUGUCAUGUGUUGGAUCAGUCUGUGUUGUGGUUCUACUGGUGUUACUGGUUCUGCUGGUGAGACGAUGUGUUCACAGGAAACCUGAAGGUGAGACUCAGAUGACUGCAUUUUAGAUGUGUGAGGUGUGUUAAAUAUAUACUGAAAUUGUUUUUAUAUACAUUAUCUACAUUAUACAUAUUAUAUCAGAUGUUUUUUCAUUUACCUUAUUCUCACACAACUCACUCGCAUUUUUACACAUUAAAAAUCUAAAAGUAUGUCUUUAGUUUAGUUUUGUUAUGUCAAGGCUCUGUUUAGACUCUUUACAAUAACAUAUUUCACUGUUAAAUUUGAAACAUUUCACAAGAUCACAGUGAACCUGCAGAAGAUGACAACAUGCACAAAGAUACGACAAUGUCAAAUCAUCAACAACAGCCAAUCAGAGAAGGUGAUCCAGCUGUAAUCUAUUCAGCAAGGAGAAUUGAAGAUGUUAGUUAUGAACACAUAAUCAUCACACCAAAGAUGAAAAGAGACUUUAAACCAGAGCCAGAUGUCGUCUACUCUUCGCUAAGGUAGUCCACCAGUCCAACCACUGACAUCCAGCUGCUGGUCUCUAUCUGGUCCCCCCAGCACCUCAGACCAGAGGACAUCCACAUGUUAACAAAGUUUUUGUUUUUUUCUUUUAUCUACGUGCAUCGGUUUUUUUCACUCUUUUAUGAUUCCAAAAAAUCAGAAAUUAAUUUUUUUUUACUGACACAGAAUCAUCAGUGCUAAUAUAAAUAUAUGAAUGUGUUUUAUAGACACUGUAACUUCACUGUUAUUUAUAAUAAAAAUAUGAGAAAUAAUUUGCUCUUGUUCCCACAGCAAACAUGUGUUUCUCUGCAGGAUUAAGAACCCUUUGUUCUCUUGUGUUUCUCACGUGGUUCUGUGGGUUUCACCAAGAUGUAAGAUGGAAAAUUUGACUUGUUCCGGUUUGGUUGUGGCUAACCGAUGCAGACAUCUUUUCACUUCAGAGAAGAAGAAGAAGAGGGGAAAAAACCCAUUAAACCUGUUCCAUGUUGCAGAAGAGCUACAACAUGGAAAGAGUUCUUACCUUGUUGUUCGAAUUCACACUGAAACCAGCGGCAGCAGCUGACUGUUUGAUAUUAAGGAAAAAUAAUAAUAACAACCUAAACAUUAUUUGGUUGCAGAUUCGUAAAUGUGAUUCUUUACAAUUAAUAUUUAUUACAAAUCUCAAAUUUGGGACUUUUUUCUACUGAACAAAAACAAAUUAAUUCCAACCUUCUAGUUAACUUGGACUACAGGGUGCUUCAUUUU